rnacentral:rRNA from 1 species
UACGAAGGGGGCUAGCGUUGCUCGGAAUUACUGGGCGUAAAGGGAGCGUAGGCGGAUAGUUCAGUCAGAGGUGAAAGCCCAGGGCUCAACCUUGGAAUUGCCUUUGAUACUGGCUGUCUUGAGUAUGGGAGAGGUUAGCGGAACUCCGAGUGUAGAGGUGAAAUUCGUAGAUAUUCGGAAGAACACCAGUGGCGAAGGCGGCUAACUGGCCCAUUACUGACGCUGAUGGACGAAAGCUAGGGGAGCGAAAGGG